UUUAAGGUCUAAUCUGCCCUAUGAGUAAUUAAAUGGCCGCGGUAUUUUGACCGUGCAAAGGUAGCAUAAUAAUUAGUUUUUUAAUUGAAAGCUGGAAUGAAUGAUUGAACGAGAAAAUUACUGUCUCAAUUUAAUUUGAUUAGAAUUUUAUUUUUAAGUAAGAAAGCUUAAAUUUUUUUAAAAGACGAGAAGACCCUAUAGAGUUUAAUAGUUUAGUUUAUAUUUAUUUUUUAGAAUUAUUAUAUUUUUAUUUGUUGAAUUAUUUUGUUGGGGUGAUAGAAAAAUUUAAUUAACUUUUUUUGUUAUUGUACAUUAAUUUAUGGUUUUGUGAUCCAUUAUUUAUGAUUAUAAGAUUUAAUUACCUUAGGGAUAACAGCGUAAUUUUCUUUUAGAGUUCUUAUCGAAAAGGGAGAUUGCGACCUCGAUGUUGGAUUAAAAUAAAUAUUUGGCGUAGAAGUUGAAUAAUUUGGUCUGUUCGACCAUUGAAAUUUUACA
rnacentral:rRNA from 1 species